rnacentral:lncRNA from 1 species
UCGCGCAAUGCUUUGUGCACCAGGCUAAAAUUUGAACUUGAGCCCUUAUAAUUUUUAGUUCACUUUAUUGUUCAUUAAGUCACGCUCUUCAAGUGAGAAACAUCCAUUAUCCCCAAGGAAUCACCUAAUGUGCUUUCCAUUCCUAUUUCAUUCAAGUUGAUUUUUACUCGGAAAGUUAACUAUUAAUGUAAGGGUUUUGAUAAUUUUUGAAUUUAUCAGAGCCUAUAUUUACCACAAAAAUUUGUAAAUCUAGGGCGAAAUUAAUGGACGAAAGCACAUACGGUCAGUUUCUAACUUCAUAACAUAAUCUUUUCUAUUGAGACUUCCCAUUGUUAUAUCUUUAAUGAUUUUAUUAUCGGCGUGUUGUGGAGUCUGCAGUGUUUGAAAUUAGAGAAAAGCUUGCUUCUUUUUUAAUAGAUUCGAGGUGAAUACAAGGUGCUGAGCUUGAACAGCAAGGCGAGCCGCUCUACUCUAGUCACGGCUACAAGUUACAGUCUGAGUCUUUUUCAGUUGUAUUCGUUUGCAGGGGCGGAGUCACAAUUUUUUGUAGGUAGUUUUCACUCAGACCUUGUACUUAUAUUUAGAAAUUUAUUUAAUAUGUAUAAGUAAUUUAUUCAGAAUCUAGUAAAUUACCUUUUCUAAAGUUCAAAAUUCAAAACUUAAAAUUCUAGCUCCGGCUCUAUUUAUGCGGGCACUGUGCUCAACAUGUCGUGACAACAAAAGGAAACACCUAAUAUUCGAAAAAAGAUUAACCUAAUCUUAGUACGUAAUGUUAAUGAAAUGGAGGACCAUGCAUAGAUGAAGGUAUUCUGACAUAGGUAGAUAUUAUUAUGCAAUGGAGUAUAAUCUCGCGAUGAUUAACAAAAAUACUCGAAAGCUCUUCUGGUUUUAAGAAAUUUUUUUGUAUUUCUAUCAUGAACCAAGCUGACUUCGUAAAGGCUUAUGAGCUAAAAGAGGUGAAAGAGGUUGAGUCAAAAAUUUAACCGGCAAAUAUAUAUUUUGUAUAUAGUUAAUGUAUAAUAUAUGCAUAUUGACCGGUAAAUAUAAAUAUUUUCGGCUGAGCGGCCAAAUAUGUAACUUUUUCUUAGAACGAAGGCUUUAUGGGUAUUGUGAUAUUGAGUGUUCUCUCUCUCCUCUUUGUUUGUAUCUCUGAUUUCCUCAUCUUUUUCUGUAUCAAUCUAAUUUUCAUCCUUUUUCUUUUUAGCUUUCUGUUGCAUUAUCCUUGUUAUCGUUGGCAUUUGCUUUGUACUUCUAGUCAGUAUUGAGUUAAUACAAUUAAUUGGUUUGGUGUAAUAUCUAGGUUGUUUCAAUUUCUCAACAUCUUCACUUGUUUUUCUUUUCUUUUGGGGGAAUCAAAGACCUAGAACAUGGAAUUCAUGAACCUACCUUUUCUAUUUUUUACUUUUGUAUUGUUUUGUGUUAAUCAUAGCAAUAGCACUCUUUGCUUUUUCUAAUUUUUUCUCUUCCAUUUAGGUUUUUAAAAGUUUGAACACUAUAAAUAAUAGUCGCGCUCCCAUAUGAGUGUAUCGGUGAAGCAACUCGAAAAGUUUAGCAAGUUAAGAAGAAUGUUUCAAUCAAAGUUGGAUUUAAACUUUAUGUACUGAUGGUGUAAAAAUAUUUAUACUAGACCAGACCACUUAUAAAAUAAUUACAAAUAAGUAAAAAUUACUAUAAUUAGUAGCCUGAUAGCCCAAACUGAUGCAGGUUGGGGUAUGAUAGAUGGGCCACGAAGUCUUACAUGGCUUUUAAACGGGGCAUUUGCAUUUAUACCCAUUUUUAGGUCACGUUUUAACUUGUAUCCGCUUUGCCAAAAAAAUUGCAAGCGUACUCACUUUUUCGCGUAACUUCAGCAUACGGGGCUGAAGUAGCAAAGGCAAUCACGCAAAACUUCAUCAUUCUAGUAGACGGGCCUGAAGUAGCAAAAAUUGCUGAACCAAGUGUGCUGAUGUUUUUGUUUGUAAUUGCUGAACUUAAACAUAGUAGCUGAAAUUUUGUUCUCUAUUUGCUAACGUUUUUGUUUGUAAUUGCUGAAUUUAAGCAUAGUAGCUGAAGUUUUGUGAUUUAGUUCAUUUAGAAAAACUUUAGCACUAAAUAAGCUGAAGUUUUUUUUGUCCUGGAUUUAUUAGUUUUGUCAUAAAACUUUUUCAAAAACUUCAGCAGAAGAUGUUGAAGUUAUUUAGUUCAUUUAUAAAAAUUUCAGCACUAUAUAAGCUGAAGUUAUUGAAAAAGCUUUCUAACAUACUAGAUAAAUAAUCACCUUAUUCUUUCAUAGUGUAUUACUUCUAUAAAUUAAUCAGAUUGUCAACAUUAUCUAAAUCAUAAAUUUUGGAAACAAUAAACGUGAAAGGAACAUAAUUAUCAUGAAAAGAAUCACUAGGUGUGACCUUAAACUUCCCGUGCGUAGAAAUAUUCACAAACUAUUGUUUACAUUAUUUAUAAUUUAUUUUUAAAUAACCUGAUAAACAUGCUUAUGGCAAUCAUCCCAUGAAAUGAAUUUUCAUAGCAGCACCAACAGUAGCAAAAGAAAGAAGAAGAAG